rfam:Termitomyces sp. J132 unplaced genomic scaffold scaffold276, whole genome shotgun sequence.
GGUUCUAUAGUGUAGUGGUUAUCACUCGAGAUUCUGAUUUCCCCUUUUCUCGAAACCCAGGUUCGAGUCCUGGUAGGACCU